AGAACAGAAGGGCUUCAACUUCUAGGAACAAAAAAAAUUGCCGGUGGGACAAAAAUUGACAUUAAUGGCUACAAUACGAAUUAAAGAAAUCAAAACCUAUAAUUACAAGCUAAGAAAGAGAAGAAACUCAUAAUCACAAGCUUACCUGAAACGAUGAGAGAGAGAAUAAGAUGAAGAAGAAGAUCGCUGCCGUUUUACGCCAUUCUCCGGCUACCAGUAAGGUUUAGGAUGGCCAGGCACGCACGGGAGAGAAUUUGGGACUUUGGUUUUCAAAAUAUUGACUUCAGC
rnacentral:lncRNA from 1 species